UGGGGUGUCGCCAAGUGGUAAGGCAUCGGGUUUUGAUCCCGACAUGCGUAGGUUCGAAUCCUGCCACCCCAG
rnacentral:tRNA from 1 species